rnacentral:misc_RNA from 1 species
ACAAACUUGGUCAUUUAGAGGAAGUAAAAGUCGUAACAAGGUCUCCGUUGGUGAACCAGCGGAGGGAUCAUUACAGAGUUGAAAAACUCCUUAAAACACCUGUGAACUUACCCGUACGUUGCUUCGGCGGGUGACCCCUGGGAGGGGCCGUAGCCUAACUGGCGCCCGCCGAAGGUACUGAAACUCUGUGUCUCUGGGCCUCUCUGAGCUACCACCUAGUGGAAAAAAAAACUUUCAACAACGGAUCUCUUGGUUCUGGCAUCGAUGAAGAACGCAGC